CUGCGUUGCCACUGGAGAUGGAUCUUAUUUGCGAGUGGUGCUGUCUACCACAGGAAAGGCUGAAGCGCUGCACUGGGUGCUGGACGGUAGUUUACUGUUCACGGAAUUGCCAGAAAAAACAUUGGCUCAUUCAUAAACCAUAUUGUCAAAUGAUUAGUGCAAAAUGAAAUAAAGAAAAAAAUGUUAAAAACUAAAAUGACGAAUGAUCUGGAAGUAAUGGAAGAAGGUUCAAUUGUUCUUAAAAUUAAACACAAAAAAACAAAAAGUGACGUGAGGAUACCCGCAGGUUUGAACGGAGAGGAAUGUUUUAGUUUUAUUUCUAAGCACCUGAGAAUUUCCCAGGAAAACCUUAAGUUAGUUUCUCGAGGAAAAUUAAUAAACAAAGAGAAUAUUUCAUCUUUUAUGACAAAUAAUGCAAUUUUUCAAGCUUUUGGAGAAGAAGCAGAGAAUGAAGAUGGAUUGGACCAAAGGGAUAUAGUGGUGCUAAUGGCUCAGUUAUCUGUGGAGAGGAACGUGGCCAUUAAAGCACUGAGGAAAAAAGGAGAUCUUAUUGAUGCAAUAUUUUACCUUUCUGAUAACAUGUAAAUUCUGCAACAUUUGUUGUAGGGAAACUCAUUAAAGUCAUCUUUUUGAAGCAA